rnacentral:rRNA from 1 species
GAUGAACGCUGGCGGCGUGCCUAAUACAUGCAAGUCGAGCGAACAGACGAGGAGCUUGCUCCUCUGACGUUAGCGGCGGACGGGUGAGUAACACGUGGAUAACCUACCUAUAAGACUGGGAUAACUUCGGGAAACCGGAGCUAAUACCGGAUAAUAUAUUGAACCGCAUGGUUCAAUAGUGAAAGACGGUUUUGCUGUCACUUAUAGAUGGAUCCGCGCCGCAUUAGCUAGUUGGUAAGGUAACGGCUUACCAAGGCAACGAUGCUUAACCGACCUGAGAGGGUGAUCGACCACACUAAAACUAAGACACGCUCCAGACUCCUACGGGAGGCAACAGUAGGGAAUCUUCCACAAUGGGCGCAAGCCUGACGGAGCAACGCCGCGUGAGUGAUGAAGGUCUUCGGCUCGUAAAACUCUGUUAUUAGGGAAGAACAAAUGUGUAAGUAACUAUGCACGUCUUGACGGUACCUAAUCAGAAAGCCACGGCUAACUACGUG